rnacentral:rRNA from 1 species
UGGCGACCGGCGCACGGGUGAGUAACACGUAUGCAACCUACCUUUAACAGGGGGAUAACACUGAGAAAUUGGUACUAAUACCCCAUAAUAUCAUAGAAGGCAUCUUUUAUGGUUGAAAAUUCCGAUGGUUAGAGAUGGGCAUGCGUUGUAUUAGCUAGUUGGUGGGGUAACGGCUCACCAAGGCGACGAUACAUAGGGGGACUGAGAGGUUAACCCCCCACACUGGUACUGAGACACGGACCAG